GACGUAGGGCGCGAGCGUUGUCCGGAUUUAUUGGGCGUAAAGAGCUCGUAGGCGGCUUGUCACGUCGGGUGUGAAAGCCCGGGGCUUAACCCCGGGUCUGCAUUCGAUACGGGCUAGCUAGAGUGUGGUAGGGGAGAUCGGAAUUCCUGGUGUAGCGGUGAAAUGCGCAGAUAUCAGGAGGAACACCGGUGGCGAAGGCGGAUCUCUGGGCCAUUACUGACGCUCAUGCACGAAAGCGUGGGUAGCAAACAGG
rnacentral:rRNA from 1 species